AGUAAAACCUCAUUCGUCAACUGUAAUUUAGAGUAUAGCCGAGAGUUAAGUAAAAUUUGGUCAAGAAUUGUUCUAUUUAAGAAUCAAACUUAAGUUAUCCUGAACAAUUCGUCAUUUGUUAAAAACACAUUUAAUCUAGAACAUAUGCACUAUUAUUUUUCUAUUUUUUACAAGGGUGUUUUUGUUUUCUCUUCCUAUUUUUUUUAAAUUGGUUCGAUUAUUGCAAUUUUUUUAUGAGACAACACAAUUUUUUGUUUCCAAUAUUAAAAUAAAGUUAAAAACAACUUAUUUCCAAUUAUAUUUUAAAUUUGAUCCAACAUUAAAAAUUCUUUUUCAUCCAACAAUGUUCCAUACGAAAUGAAAAAUAUGAAUUAGAAAAG
rnacentral:lncRNA from 1 species